rnacentral:tRNA from 1 species
GGCCUGGUAGCCAAGUGGCUGAGGCAUUGGUCUGCAAAACCAAUAACAUGGGUUCGAUUCCCAUCCAGGCCUCAA